rnacentral:rRNA from 1 species
AGCGAACGGACGAGAAGCUUGCUUCUCUGAUGUUAGCGGCGGACGGGUGAGUAACACGUGGAUAACCUACCUAUAAGACUGGGAUAACUUCGGGAAACCGGAGCUAAUACCGGAUAAUAUUUUGAACCGCAUGGUUCAAAAGUGAAAGACGGUCUUGCUGUCACUUAUAGAUGGAUCCGCGCUGCAUUAGCUAGUUGGUAAGGUAACGGCUUACCAAGGCAACGAUGCAUAGCCGACCUGAGAGGGUGAUCGGCCACACUGGAACUGAGACACGGUCCAGACUCCUACGGGAGGCAGCAGUAGGGAAUCUUCCGCAAUGGGCGAAAGCCUGACGGAGCAACGCCGCGUGAGUGAUGAAGGUCUUCGGAUCGUAAAACUCUGUUAUUAGGGAAGAACAUAUGUGUAAGUAACUGUGCACAUCUUGACGGUACCUAAUCAGAAAGCCACGGCUAACUACGUGCCAGCAGCCGCGGUAAUACGUAGGUGGCAAGCGUUAUCCGGAAUUAUUGGGCGUAAAGCGCGCGUAGGCGGUUUUUUAAGUCUGAUGUGAAAGCCCACGGCUCAACCGUGGAGGGUCAUUGGAAACUGGAAAACUUGAGUGCAGAAGAGGAAAGUGGAAUUCCAUGUGUAGCGGUGAAAUGCGCAGAGAUAUGGAGGAACACCAGUGGCGAAGGCGACUUUCUGGUCUGUAACUGACGCUGAUGUGCGAAAGCGUGGGGAUCAAACAGGAUUAG